ensembl:lncRNA
CUUUAUUCCUUUAAACUGUGGUCCUUACAAGCUGCUACUCAAAUUGCUCUCAUUUAGGUUCCUGAUGUUCAUCUGUGAUCUGCAGGGAUUGCUCUGCUGCUCUGAAUUGCACCAGAGCAAUCCCAGCCAACUGAACAGACGCUCCUCUUCACUCCUCUGCUUUAUGGUGAUGAUGCCACUGAUGACUUGACUCAAGGCAACAUGAAAAGAUUGCUGGAUGUGGAACGAACUUUGUAGCAUGCUGCACCAUGAUUGUUGUUCACAUUUCAAAGCAACCUCAAGGAAAACUGUAAAUAAGAACUAAGGCAUAAAAAUACACUCGCACCUGGGAAUACUCAGCAUGCUGUACACCAGAGCUGCAUCCAAGCCCUGGCAAACAGCCAGCUGCUGAGGAGAAAUCUGGAAGGGCUUAAUAUGGACUGGAGAACUGAUCUACUUGGAAACAAACUACGUGGGUGUACUUAUCUCCUUGUCGCAUACUGUAGUCAUUUUGCUACUUUGAAUAAAAAAUAGGUCUUGUCAUCAUGUUAUAGGCCUCAACAUCGCACUUCUGGUGCAUAGAGCCCACACCUAGCGAGAACAAUCAUUUUCCUUUUGUUGGAAGCUUUUAAUGGGCAGCUGGAUGUGAACCUUCAGACCAAAGAAAGUGGUCUGAAUUCAUUUCAGAAAGAGGAGAUACUGUACUGGAAGCUGCGAGAAGUAAUAGGAUGAACAGUAUUAAGUCUGAGUCAUAAAAUAAAAAGUCAUCGAUGAGUCAUUUGUGGAAGUUGCCAUAGCUAUACAACAAAACACGAGGUUUCUGUUUAUAUACGGACAAAUGAGCUGUUUCCUACUUACUGUAACAAUAGUACUGGACCUUUGGAGACACAGUUACUUCUCCUGAUCACCACUGGGUUCCUUCACAGCCUGCUGUUACUCCUGCUUCUCUGAAGUAUAUACUCUUAUGUUGGAUGGGAAAAUAUGGCCUCUAACAACAUGAGUAACAUCCUUUCACUGCACACCAGUUGCACAUAGAGAAGAGGAAAACUAGAAUGUCAAGAAGGAAAAAGCACCAUCUCUUUUACCUGUCAGUACUAGGACCUACAGACCUUUCCAUCUUAAUUUAUCAUGAAGACCUAGCUAAAAAUACAGUUCCUGACAAGUGGUUCCAAAUAAAUUAAUUGAAAACAUCAACAAGAAAGAUCAUUGACACUUCUGCUAGUUUUACUUUCCUGCAAAAUGAAUCAUUCUGGGUACUGCUGUUUCUUCUGUAGCCUGGAGUAUAACUGUUUACACAUUUAAAAGAGGAUUGUUCAGCUCAUGCAGUCACCUUGGAAAAUGCCAACCAGAUUCCUUUAUGAUGGAACUAAACUGGGAUAUAUUCCCUGGAAGCAUUGUGAAAAUACACCAACUGCAAAAAGGGACAAAGCUCAUGGGCAACACAAGGACCAAUCUAAAUUAAACUCCCCUUGAAAUGUGUACAUCGGGGACACUGGAUCUUAAACAUUAUUUGUUUUGUUUUGCAAAUCUACUGCUUAGCUACACUGCUAGACCAUACAUAACCCUGAAGACCAUAAAGUUUAUUCACUGAAUGCUGAACUUCUCUGAAAAUCUAAAUGUGAGAAUGACAAAAAGCAGUUCACAGACAUUGUAAUUCUUCUCUGCACAGAUAAAUGCACAGUGUCUCAAAAAUACUUCAACAGAGUCUUUUGAAAAUCCAUGGCAUCAUCGGAGAAACAGAUCUGACUGAUUUUGUCUGAAAAAAAAAUUUAGAAGAUGGUUUCAUUUGUAUUUUAGCACAGGAAAUUGUCAGAAGUCUGCCAACAGUUCUGUAAAAUUCUCCAUCUCCUCACUACUUCUUCAAUCUGCAUCCUUUCCCUAAUGAAAUAUACCAUCUCUGCUAUCAAUUCAGCAGUGUGCAAGCACACGCUCAGCUUUCUAGGAGCAAUUCAGUAACAUUCAACCACCCAGAUGUCUGGAAAUGUCUUCACCAGGAACCUGGCAUAACUGGUACAGAUGCUGAAGGAACCUGGGUGAUGGUUGGCAAAAAAGAGGGACUAAUACAAUUAAAAGAAGAUUAUACAAUUGCUGUCAACAACUCAGAUUGGAUGAAAUAUCAGUGCAUCAUACAUGAAGAUAAUUUAUAUGUGCAAGCUUUAAACAUGGAUAAUGUCUUGUGAAUUUCAUGAAGAAGAGAUCGAAUCAUUGCUAAUUCCGAAGUUCAGUAAAAGUAUGAAUGCUCACCAUAGGGAGAUCGCUUACUUUUCUGAAGGAAGGUGGCUGUAUUGGG